CAUUAAGAAGCUAUGAAAUAGCACUAGCCUUUUAAGCUAGAGAUAGGGGAACCACACUCCUCCUUAAUGA
rnacentral:tRNA from 1 species